GGCAUGUUGGUGGUGGUGACAGCUGGUAUCCUAGUCACAUGGAAGAUGUGGACAAAGCAUAAGGACAAUAAGGCCAAGGACCAGACAACUAACAACUCAGUGUCUGCUGACCCUGAGCAGGACAUUUCAUACAGCACAGUGAGAUACACCAGAGAAACAGCACAGCAG